rnacentral:rRNA from 1 species
UACAGAGGUCCCAAGCGUUGUUCGGAUUCAUUGGGCGUAAAGGGUGCGUAGGCGGCGCGGUAAGUCGGGUGUGAAAUUUCGGAGCUUAACUCCGAAACUGCAUUUGAUACUGCGGUGCUUGAGGACUGGAGAGGAGACUGGAAUUUACGGUGUAGCAGUGAAAUGCGUAGAGAUCGUAAGGAAGACCAGUGGCGAAGGCGGGUCUCUGGACAGUUACUGACGCUGAGGCACGAAGGCCAGGGGAGCAAACGGG